rnacentral:rRNA from 1 species
GUUUGAUCCUGGCUCAGAACGAACGCUGGCGGCAGGCCUAACACAUGCAAGUCGAACGAACCUUUUAGGUGAGUGGCGCACGGGUGCGUAACGCGUGGGAAUGUACCCCAGGGUGCGGGACAACGUCUGGAAACGGACGCUAAUACCGCAUAAUGACUUCGGUCCAAAGAUUUAUCGCCCAGGGAUCAGCCCGCGUCUGAUUAGUUUGUUGGUGGGGUAACGGCCUACCAAGACUACGAUCAGUAGCUGGUCUGAGAGGAUGAUCAGCCACACUGGAACUGAGACACGGUCCAGACUCCUACGGGAGGCAGCAGUGAGGAAUAUUGGACAAUGGGGGCAACCCUGAUCCAGCCAUGCCGCGUGAGUGAAGAAGGCCUUAGGGUUGUAAAGCUCUUUCAAUCGUGAAGAUAAUGACGGUAGCGAUAGAAGAAGCCCCGGCUAAAUUCGUGCCAGCAGCCGCGGUAAUAAGGGCGAAU